rnacentral:rRNA from 1 species
ACGGGUGCGUAACACGUGGAUAACAUUCCAGAAAGCGCGGGAUAGCCCAGGGAAACUUGGAUUAAUACCGCAUGUGGUCGCAAGACUAAAGGCGCAAGCCGUUUUCUGAUUGGUCCGCGGCCUAUCAGCUAGUUGGUGAGGUAAAAGCUCACCAAGGCAACGACGGGUAGCUGGUCUGAGAGGACGACCAGCCACACUGGAACUGAGACACGGUCCAGACACCUACGGGUGGCAGCAGUCGAGAAUCUUUCACAAUGGGGGCAACCCUGAUGGAGCGACGCCGCGUGGAGGAUAAGGUCUUCAGAUUGUAAACUCCUGUCAUGCGAGAGCAAGACAUGGCAACAUGUUUGAUAGUAUCGCAAGAGGAAGAGACGGCUAACCCUGUGCCAGCAGCCGCGGUAAUACAGAGGUCUCAAGCGUUGUUCGGAAUCACUGGGCGUAAAGGGUGCGUAGGCUGCGGAGAAAGUCUGGUGUGAAAUUUGCGAGCUCAACUCGCAACUAGCACCUGAUACUACUUUGCUAGAGAUCUGGAGAGGAGCUUGGAAUUCUCGGU